GGUACCUUGGAUUUUGCCCUGCUUUUAAGAAAAUUUGAUAUAGGCUACAUCUUUUGAACUGUUUAAGAUUCCUUAUGGUAAGACCUUACAUUUCAUACCAUGAUUUUUCAUUUUGUAUCGUGGUUAUGUCGUGACCCUAUGGGGCCAGGUUGCGGUCACAAUAUAGGGUCAACAUAUUUCAUGGGAGGAAGGAUUGCAAAACAUUUUUUUAAAAAUCACAAUAUACUGGUAGCUAAACAACAGCAGAGUCGAGGUGAGCUAUAUGGACCUCUUUCUGACCUUGUGAACCAUUCUCUACCCAGAGUGCAUGUGAAGCUUGCGUAACGCGCCCUCUGGUGAGAGAAUGCUUGUGAACAAGAUGUACUGCGGGGUAUUUUAAUGAAGAAAACUCGCUCUUAAAUAAAGCUUUAGAAUCAAUAGAUAUGU